rnacentral:lncRNA from 1 species
GGAGUCGAGAGCUUACUUUGAGGAUCCCGAAGCCUUUUUAUUUAUAGAGGAAGAGUUGGAAUCAUUUCUAUCUUGGAGUCUGGACAGUUUUUUAGAUCUGUCGCGUAGAUUAAUUCGGAUGAGAUAUUUUUUUUUACAGGAGACUCGAUUGCGGAGAAAUUUCAAUCUAUCUAGAUUUUUCUAAUUUAGGAGAAGGAGAGAAAGAUCUGUCGAUGAAGAACAUAAUUUGGCCAUGGACGAGCUACGGUAGAUCGUCCAAGGCCGAGGUCACGGAGAUUGUGGAGCACAUGUUGGUUUCGGGCAAUC